GCAACUCGACUGCACGAAGCUGGAAUCGCUAGUAAUCGCGGAUCAGAAUGCCGCGGUGAAUACGUUCCCGGGUCCUUGUACACACCGCCCGUCACACCAUGGGAGUCAGUAACGCCCGAAGUCAGUGACCUAACCGAAAGGGAGGAGCUGCCGAAGGCGGGACGGAUGACUGGGGUGAAGUCGUAACAAGGUACC
rnacentral:rRNA from 1 species